rnacentral:lncRNA from 7 species
UCCAGGUUUUGCAACAGAACUUCUCAUUCUGAUAUAGCUGACAUAGACCAACAGACUGUUUCCCAGAAGCAGAGGAACACAUUCCCAGCUGCUGGACCCACUGAAGUCAGCCUCCUCAUGAUGACUUAAGAGAGACAACGGUUACACCGUGGUUUUUCAAGUACCAGAUCAUCUCCAGCUACCUAAAUAAUAAAGAAGGUUGUAAGAAACUGCUCAAGAGAAUUUCACAGCUAUUUGUGUGCAUCGUGUUUUCCAUGGGUCAGAGAUGAGAUGGAGACUCAGCACUCCUCCUUCCUUAACGCUGCCCCGGUCACAGCCGUCAGGGGCAGAGAGAAGUUGGAUUCAUUCAGAUUUUCACACCACAGAAUCAUCCUUUGCAGAAGACUUUUCUUAAUCCCCAAUAAUUUAAUCAAAACAAGAGAAGAAUAACAGAAUAACAUCCUCUACUCCUUUGGUAUGAAUUGCUAAUUUGCUAAUUUAAGAAACGAAACUAAAGAUACUGGCAACGUUUUGUUUUCUUCCUUUGCAAUCUGUGCCUUCCUGCAGGUGAGAGCAGACACUGCCCAGGGAGAGGAGGAAAUCAUGGGAACUGUAUGAAAGUGCAGUGUGCAACAACCAGUAAAACUCAGGCACAGAAGUAAAAACUGCUUAUACUGAAAGAUCUGUUGCUGACAAAGGUUAUUGGAAGUCAAUGGCUCUGCACUACUGGAAAAAAAAUAUUGGUGUACUAGAGCAUCUGCCAUUCAAAAGUGUUGGAAUUACAGGCUUGCCUAAAAGUUUGAGGUUGAAAUUGUUUAAGUGGUCUGUUCUACAAGUCAAGAAAGUCCAGUCUGUGUUUACUGCUCUGUAUUGUACUUGAUGCUGAAAAGCUCUGUCAGAGCUAGAAUUCUUUGUAGAGCAGACAGGACAAAGGGAAAUAAUCCUAUUUACUGACAUAUCACUCAAGAAAUUAACUUAGACCUUCAGUAAAAUUAUUUUUGUUCCACUAGGAGAUAGUACUGGGGAGAAAGAAGGAAUGGGACUGUCAGGGAAUUUGUUUCCUCAGAGCACUGUGCAGCUCCUGAAACAGGAGAAAAGGCUGUCUUCAGACAGGGCUGCCCUCAAAAUUUAGGGGAAAAACAUCACCCUUCCUCUAAAUGAUAACCAGAGCAGCCUUUAAAUGAUAAUCUUGACUAUAUAGAGUUCGCUUUCCUAUCUGAGCUAUCCAAUUUAGGGCAAACUCGUUUGACUUCUGAAUACCCUCCACUGACCUGAUCCUGCUAAUGUAUGUUGUACGCAAGCGCUCUAGAAUAAUAUCAAUCCAAAGGCUACAAUAUCUGACUGUGCAGUAGUAGGAUUAUUUGCUGUUUGGGUGGAAUGCUUCUUCAGAUGUACUGGGUUUGGACAAUAAGCUGAGAACACCACCUAUGCCUAACAACUGAAAGCUAGCUUUGUAGCAUAACUAUGUGCCCCCAAAUAAUAUACUCUACCUGCCAAAUGCUGUAUGUAACUCAUCCACCUUUCUAAAUACAGAUUUACUCUAAAACAACAACAAAAAGAGACAAGUUACACAGAAAGGUCUAAUAAUUCUAUUCUUGUAAAUCAGAGCACUCUCCAAAGAACAGACUCUCUCCCUCCCCUAAUGUGAAUAUCAGGUGCAAAAUUGUUCUCCUUACUUGAAUGCUUGUGACAGACACCUGUUCCCACUGUCAAGAGCAACCAAUCUGCGGCCGCAUUUGAAUUUUCAAGCCUUGCCAAAUUGACAAUUGUUUCUUGCCAAUAAAUAAAUACCAGAUGUUAGUUUCACAAUCUUAGAAUGUAAAGGCCUGCCACAAUCUUUAGCAAAUAUAUCAUAGAAUCUG